rnacentral:rRNA from 1 species
AUACGUAGGUGACAAGCGUUAUCCGGAUUUACUGGGUGUAAAGGGCGUGUAGGCGGUUUAGCAAGUCAGAAGUGAAAUUCCCGGGCUUGACUUGGGCGCUGCUUCUGAAACUGCUUUACUUGAGUGCUGGAGAGGAUAGUGGAAUUCCUAGUGUAGCGGUAAAAUGCGCAGAUAUUAGGAGGAACACCGGUGGCGAAGGCGGCUAUCUGGACAGUAACUGACGCUGAGGCGCGAAAGCACGGGGAGCAAACAGGAUUAGAUACCCUGGUAGUCCGUGCCGUAAACGAUGAAUACUAGGUGUAGGGGGUAUCGACUCCCUCUGUGCCGCAGUUAACACAUUAAGUAUUCCACCUGGGGAGUACGGCCGCAAGGUUGAAACUCAAAUGAAUUGGCGGGG